rnacentral:tRNA from 1 species
UGAUGUGGCUCAGUCGGUAGAGCGUCGCCUUGGUAAGGCGGAGGUCACGGGUUCAAUUCCCGUCAUCA